rnacentral:ncRNA from 1 species
UCGUUGGAUACGGGAGAAGCUGCGAUGCAAAUCGCGGUGCCGAAGGAGCAACCGCCCCGGUAAACUCUCAGGCAAAAGGACCGCAUCCAGCCA